UACGGAGGGUGCGAGCGUUGUCCGGAUUUAUUGGGUUUAAAGGGUGCGUAGGUGGCCCUGCAAGUCCGUGGUGAAAGCCUGCUGCUCAACAGCAGAACUGCCAUGGAUACUACAGGGCUUGAGUCCAGACGAGGUUGGCGGAAUGGAUGGUGUAGCGGUGAAAUGCAUAGAUACCAUCCAGAACCCCGAUUGCGUAGGCAGCUGACUAGGCUGGUACUGACACUGAGGCACGAAAGCGUGGGGAGCGAAC
rnacentral:rRNA from 2 species